AUUGGACGCUGGCGGAAUGCUUUACACAUGCAAGUCGAGCGGCAGCACGGGGGCAACCCUGGUGGCGAGCGGCGAACGGGUGAGUAACACAUCGGAACAUGCCCAGUCGUGGGGGAUAACACUUCGAAAGAAGUGCUAAUACCGCAUACGUCCUGAGGGAGAAAGCGGGGGAUCGCAAGACCUCGCGCGAUUGGAGUGGCCGAUGUCAGAUUAGCUAGUUGGUGGGUAAAGGCCUACCAAGGCAACGAUCUGUAGCUGGUCUGAGAGGAUGAUCAGCCACACUGGGACUGAGACACGGCCCAGACUCCUACGGGAGGCAGCAGUGGGGAAUUUUGGACAAUGGGGGCAACCCUGAUCCAGCCAUUCCGCGUGAGUGAAGAAGGCCUUCGGGUUGUAAAGCUCUUUCGGCAGGAACGAAACGGUGAGCUCUAACAUAGCUUGCUAAUGACGGUACCUGAAGAAGAAGCACCGGCUAACUACGUG
rnacentral:rRNA from 1 species